AUAGUAUAGCUACUUGGUCAUUUAGAGGAAGUAAAAGUCGUAACAAGGUUUCCGUAGGUGAACCUGCGGAAGGAUCAUUAUCGAAGCAAAGCUUCACACCGUGAAAAACUAACCCCUUGGGGUAUACAAACUCUAGUGUUGUAAUGAAUGUACAGUUAGUCAUAACAAACAUAACUUUUUAGCAACGGAUCUCUUGGCUCUCGCAUCGAUGAAGAACGCAGCGAAAUGCGAUAAGUAAUGUGAAUUGCAGAAUUGUGAAUCAUCGAAUCUUUGAACGCACCUUGCGCCCCUGUGGGCAUGCCAGUUUGAGAGCCACCCUAACCUCGAGCUUGCUCGGAUUUGAGCGCUGUCGUAGACUCGCUCUGAAUGCAUUCGCGGCUGAAGGCUGCAGCGACGUAAUAAGUAUUCCGCCGUUGUAAGUUGUAAGCUGCUUCAAAUCGUCGCAAGACACUACAUGUACGCUAGGCAUCAAAGUGGUAGGACUACCCGCUGAACUUAAGCAUAUCAAUAA
rnacentral:rRNA from 1 species